rnacentral:tRNA from 1 species
GAGGUUGUAGCUCAGUGGUAGAGCACUUGCCUAGCACGUGUGAGGCUCUGGGUUUGAUCCCCAGCACCACA